CAGAUAAGAAAUCUGUUCCCCCGCUAUCCCCCACUCUGAGAUACUUCCCUUUGGGCCCCCUUUGACCUUCCCUUUUCCCACUGUUUUUCCCUCAGGCGGAUCCCCGUGGAUUCUGCUCCGUCCCUGCAGAUCCAGUGCCCGCCCAGCUCGGGGGGUCCCGGCUUUGGGGGGGGGGCCCUGCCCUGUGUCCCCCCCCUUCCUGCCCCAGUGGCCCCCCCAGGAGGAGGAAGAAGAGGAGGAAGAGGAGGAGGAAAGGAGGAGGAGAAGGAAUGGCGGCACCGUGGCGGGUACUGGAGCCCGCCCAAAAAUCCAUAAAAAUUUACUGAUCCCACCUUUUCUUACCCCAAACGAGCUUUACCUGGGCGAGAAGUAAGGCCAAAGGCUCCCACAGCAUGGCUCAGGCGAGUCUCCUGGCCUGCGAGGGGCUCUCGGGCGUCUGCCUCGUCCCCACCGUUGCCAGCAAGAAGAUGAUGCCCAAAUCCGGCGGGAAACAGGAUGGGAGCCGGGAACGGGGCUCCAGCCCUGACCUCCUGGUACGGAGUGGGAACCCCUGGCUGGGAUCUGGCACCUUCCACUGGGGGAUCCUACCUUUAAUUGGGGAAUUCCACCCUUUAAUUUGGGGGUUUAUGCCUGUAGUUGGCUUUUUCAACUUUUAAUUUGGAGGUUUCCAGCUUUCAUUUCCUUUUACUACCUUUAGUUUCUUCUUGCUUUUAUUUGGGGGUUUUGGACUGUUUUUUUCCCUGCUUUAAUUUGGGCUAUUCUGCCCCAAAUUUGGCAUUUUCCACCUCUAAUUUGCCUCUUCCUCCUCAAAUUUCAAUUUUUCCUCCCCUUAUUCAUCCUUUUCUAUGUUUUUUUUGACCUUUUCCAGUUCUAAUUUUGCUUUUUCCUGCUUUAAUUUGGUUUUUUCCUCAUUUAGUUUUCCUGCUUUAGUUUGAUUUUCUCACUUCUCAUUUGACCUUUUCCUGCUUUAAUUUUUUAGUCCUUUCAUUUCCCAUUUCUUGGCCUUACUUGAUUUUCCUUCUUUCACUCACCCUUUCCUGUCUUUAAUUGGACUUUUCCUCCUUAAUUUGGAUUUUUCCUUCUUUAUUUGGCCUUUUCCUAUCUUGGAUUUUCCUGUUCUAAUUCUAUUGUUUCCUCUUCAAUUCCAUCCCCUUAUUAUCCCCCAACCUCCCCAUUCCCUGCUCAUCCUGAACCCCCCCUCCCCAAUUUCCUGCUCCUGUUUAACCUCCCCAAUCC
rnacentral:lncRNA from 1 species